AGAGCGAACGCUGGCGGCAGGCCUAACACAUGCAAGUCGAGCGCCCGUAGCAAUACGGGAGCGGCAGACGGGAUAGUAACACGUGGGAACGCGCCCUUCGGUUCGGAAUAACUCAGGGAAACUUGAGCUAAUACCGGAUACGCCCUUACGGGGAAAGAUUUAUUGCCGAAGGAACGGCCCGCGUCCGAUUAGCUAGUUGGUGAGGUAAUGGCUCACCAAGGCGACGAUCGGUAGCUGGUCUGAGAGGAUGACCAGCAUCACUGGGACUGAGACACGGCCCAGACUCCUACGGGAGGCAGCAGCGGGGAAUAUUGGACAAUGGGCGCAAGCCUGAUCCAGCCAUGCCGCGUGGAUGAUGAAGGCCUUAGGGUUGUAAAGUCCGUUUUAACGGGGAAGAUAAUGACGGUACCCGUAGAAUAAGCCCGGCUAACUUCGUGCCAGCAGCCGC
rnacentral:rRNA from 1 species